rnacentral:rRNA from 1 species
UACAGAGGGUGCGAGCGUUGUUCGGAAUUAUUGGGCGUAAAGGGCGCGUAGGCGGUGCGGUAAGUCACUUGUGAAAUCUCCUGGCUCAACUGGGAGCUUGCAGGCGAAACUGCCGUGCUGGAGUGUGGGAGAGGUGCGUGGAAUUCCCGGUGUAGCGGUGAAAUGCGUAGAUAUCAAGUGGAACACCAGUGGCGAAGGCGAGUCCCUGGACAACUCCUGACACUGAGGCACGAAAGCUAGGGGAGCAAACAGG